UACAGAGGUCUCGAGCGUUGUUCGGAUUCAUUGGGCGUAAAGGGUGCGUAGGCGGCGCGGUAAGUCGGAUGUGAAAUCCUGGGGCUCAACCCCAGAACUGCAUUCGAUACUGCCUUGCUCGAGUACUGGAGAGGAGACUGGAAUUUACGGUGUAGCAGUGAAAUGCGUAGAUAUCGUAAGGAAGACCAGUGGCGAAGGCGAGUCUCUGGACAGUUACUGACGCUGAGAAGCGAAAGCAUGGGGAGCGAACAGG
rnacentral:rRNA from 1 species